rnacentral:lncRNA from 1 species
GCAGGCCUGCCUUGGGGAACAUUCAUCUCAUUAAAGUUAAAUCACGUUUCCCUGUCUGCAUGUCUCCUCCCCACAGGAAUGUAACCUCCCAGAGGGAAAGAUUGAAGGCAAGAGGAGAAGGGGAUGACAGAGGAUGAGAUGGCUGGAUGGCAUCACCGUCUCUACGCACAUGAGUUUGGGUGGACUCCAGGAGUUGGCGAUGGACAGGGAGGCCUGGCGUGCUGCUGUCCAUGGGGUCACAAAGAACAGGACACGACUGAGCGACUGAACUGAGAGGGAAGCCACUCUCCUUUAUCUCGAAUCUCCUGUGCCCCGGGAGAGGGUACAGCCAGUUUUGCUCCAUCAGUGGUUGUCUAGCCUUAAGGAAUAGAUAGCAAUGUGUUCUUGAGCAGAAGAGACUGUUCUGCUAUGAUCUCGGAUAACCCUGUGAACAGCUAUAUGGCACCUGGGUACUUAUAAAGGCAACGUACCGCAUUUCACACUUACACAGCCCUUCCGAGUUCACAGCGCGGCACCCGGAUUCCUGCAAAACCUCCCCUGUUUGGGACGCACCAGCCUUCGUUUCACCCCGAGAAGAGCAAGGUCUGUGCAGUGCUGUCAAGCCCCAGAGCCCAGAGCUGAGCUGAAGGGGUCUUCCCCAGUCACUGGGACCAAAGAUAGUGGGUGGCAGCAAAGAGCUCAGAGGAGGAAAUUUUUUCUUCUUGCUUGUUUUAUGGUUCUUAGGGUGUUACCAUAACAGCAUGAAUUCCUCCCUGAACUCAGCAGAACAUAUGGGAAAACCUAUACUUAGCUUAUCAUUUCAAACCCUUCCUCCCCCACACCCUUCUUCCCCUCCAGGAGGCCUCAAUAUGGUACCAGUUCUGUAGGUAAAAUAAAAAAUGCUGAAUUGAGUGAAGUGGUCGCUCUUCCAGACUCAUGGGCGAGCAGUGAUGUGUCCUGAGCUUUGACUGGAGUUACAAUUGAGCACUAACCUGCAAAGACAAAAUUGUUCUCACAGGGGUUGUUGUAUUACACACAGAAGGGGAAACACAGCCACCACAUCGGACUCAAGGGUGGAGCCACCAGAACAGAUAUGACUGUGGCCAAAAAUGGCCAGAAAAUAUGCAACACAAAGAGAGGACACAGAGAAAUCCUUACAAUUGGUCAUAAAUGUCAAAACAGACCACACGAGAAGGUGCUUCUCUGCUGAAAAACAGACAGUGUUUAUGAGUUGAUCUCAUACAGGAAAUCAUCACACUGCUCUUUUAAACCAUCGAGUCUAAGGGUCUGUAGAUCAGAUUUUUACAAGUAUCAGUUAGGAUGUCAGAUCGUUAUGCUCGUGCCCUCAACACUCACAGUAAGUAACUGAAGCUUCCUGGUUUGGGUCUCGAAUGGAUACAAGGCAGCAUCACUCCAAACAUUAUUGAAUUCUAAGCCAUCAGCUGUUCUUUUAGUGUCUAAGUCAUUUCUAGGAUGGCACAAGUCCAAGUCUAAUUCAUUAAAACAGAAGAAAUCUAUAAACACCUGCAUGUAAUUGAUUAGUAAGUUGGGGUUUCUUUAACUGGUUGUUUAUUCCUCUGUUAAAAACAACACACUAAAGCAAAGAACCAACAAUGGCACGUCAUUGACAUUUUGCCAAAUUAUUAGACUUAUUUUUGUAAAGUGGGUUGUUUUACUUGGGAUGUCAGCUUCAGAGCCCCUAAAACCUACCCUCUGUGUAAGUGCUGUACUCUUUUGAUCUUGUUCAUUGGACUGAGAAUUGUGAGGGCCUUGGACAGCGUUGCUUUUUACAUAGAAAUCAACUGAGUGAAAAAAGACGGGUUUUAAGGGCAAAUUAUCUAAUUUGUGUUUCUGGAGAUGUUAAAUACACUCUUCACUCCCAAAGAGUAGAGGCUGAUCUUCCCCCAUUCUGAUGUCCCUGCUUC